rnacentral:misc_RNA from 1 species
GAAAUGCGAUAAGUAAUGUGAAUUGCAGAAUUCAGUGAAUCAUCGAAUCUUUGAACGCACCUUGCGCUCCUUGGUAUUCCGAGGAGCAUGCCUGUUUGAGUGUCAUGAAAUCCUCAAACCCAAGUUUUGGAUUUCGGUUCAUGCUUGAGUUUGGAUUUGGACGUUUGCCGGUGAUGAACCGACUCGUCUUAAAUGUAUUAGCUGGAUCUGUCUAUAUGAUUGGUGUGACUUGGCAUAAUAAGUAUUUUGCUGAGGACAUCUUCGGAUGUCCAGGACCUAGACUAUUGUCUGCUAACUAGACCAUCACUUUGAGUGCAUCUUUGGAUGUUACUAAUUGUCUAACUUUGACAUCUGGCCUCAAAUCAGGUAGGACUACCCGCUGAACUUAA